CCUACGGGUGGCAGCAGUGAGGAAUAUUGGUCCAUGGGCGCGAGCCUGAACCAGCCAAGUAGCGUGAAGGAUGACUGCCCUACGGGUUUUAAACUUCUUUUAUAACGGAAUAAAGUGAGGCACGUGUGCCUUUUUGUAUGUACUUUAUGAAUAAGGAUCGGCUACCUCCGUGCCAGCAGCCCCGGUAAUACGGAGGAGCCGAGCGUUAUCCGGAUUGAUUGUGUUUAAAGGGCGCGUAGAUGGGUUGUUAAGUCAGUUUUGAAAGUUUGCGGCUCAACCGUAAAAUUGCAAUUGAUACUGGCAGUCGUGAGUACAGUUGAGGUAGGCGGAAUUCGGGGUGUAGCGGUGAAAUGCUUAGAUAUCACGAAGAACUCCGAUUGCGAAGGCAGCUUACUAAACUGCCACUGACAUUGAUGCUCGAAAGUGUGGGUAUCAAACAGGAUUAGAUACCCCAGUAGGC
rnacentral:rRNA from 1 species